AUUGAACGCUGGCGGCAUGCUUUACACAUGCAAGUCGAACGGUAACAGGUCUUCGGAUGCUGACGAGUGGGCGAACGGGUGAGUAAUGUAUCGGAACGUGCCCAGUAGUGGGGGAUAACUACUCGAAAGAGUGGCUAAUACCGCAUGAGAACUGAGGUUGAAAGUGGGGGACCGCAAGGCCUCACGCUACUGGAGCGGCCGAUAUCAGAUUAGGUAGUUGGUGGGGUAAAGGCCUACCAAGCCUGCGAUCUGUAGCUGGUCUGAGAGGACGACCAGCCACACUGGGACUGAGACACGGCCCAGACUCCUACGGGAGGCAGCAGUGGGGAAUUUUGGACAAUGGGCGCAAGCCUGAUCCAGCAAUGCCGCGUGCAGG
rnacentral:rRNA from 1 species